UCUAAAAGCCUAGGUUAGAUAUUCCACACUGUUACCAGGAUAUUUUAAACACUAUUUUUGAUUGGUGAAUUUAAGUAGUCCUAUUUUGAUUUAAUUAAAAUGACUGUCUUGCUGUCUUGAAUUCAUGUAAUAUUGUAAUUGAGCACAUUAACUAAAAUAAGACUUGUUUUAUUUUUCAAGUAAAACAAACUGUUGCCAUGGUGAAGCCUAUGCCGGACACGUCUCCAAUCAUGUAUUGCACCAUCUACAAGAAACUUUCGGAAUUGCAAGUGAUGCUGUCCUUCACAUUCUUGAGCAGAUGACCCAACAACUUCAAUCAAACAAAACCACUUUUCAGCUCUGUGGUGAUCGUGAAACCAACUUUCUACUGGCCAUUGGAACCAUGCCUGCCCUGAUCUUCUGAAAGGAGGACAUCAUAGCUACUACACCUUUCAGCAUGCAUGUGUGUGGCCACUCCUCUCUGUGCUGCUGACAGAUAUCUUGAGAACACCGUCCGUAACUGAGACAAGACUUCCACACAUAAAAGGCUAUGGCUGAUUGGAAGAUGUUCAUUGUGGAGUAAGCUCCUAUUGGUGACAUCUAAUCCCAAGUUUAUUUUUGCUUUGGACAAUUUGGUUUGUUUGACUCUUAGGGCAUCUUAUGAGUGCGACAGAUGUGUCAGAUCUUCAUUGUUCUGUCAUUUUACGGGGUUGUUUCAGAAUCAGAUGCCCAUCCAGACUUUAAAUUCUGACCAGUAGUCAUGUUUUACUAUGUUUAUGUGAAACUUAAACGUAAUAAAGAUGUUAAAAGUAA